rnacentral:rRNA from 1 species
UACGUAGGGGGCAAGCGUUGUCCGGAUUUACUGGGCGUAAAGAGCGUGUAGGCGGCCAAACAGGUCCGUUGUGAAAACUGGAGGCUCAACUUCCAGACGUCGACGGAAACCGUUUGGCUAGAGUCCGGAAGAGGAGAGUGGAAUUCCUGGUGUAGCGGUGAAAUGCGCAGAUAUCAGGAAGAACACCAAUGGCGAAGGCAGCUCUCUGGGACGGUACUGACGCUGAGACGCGAAAGCGUGGGGAGCGAACAGG